UACGAAGGGGGCUAGCGUUGUUCGGAUUUACUGGGCGUAAAGCGCACGUAGGCGGAUCGUUAAGUCUGGGGUGAAAUCCUGGAGCUCAACUCCAGAACUGCCUUCGAUACUGGCGAUCUUGAGUCCGGAAGAGGUGAGUGGAACUCCUAGUGUAGAGGUGGAAUUCGUAGAUAUUAGGAAGAACACCAGUGGCGAAGGCGGCUCACUGGUCCGGUACUGACGCUGAGGUGCGAAAGCGUGGGGAGCAAACAGG
rnacentral:rRNA from 1 species